GACGUAGGUGGCAAGCGUUAUCCGGAAUUAUUGGGUGUAAAGGGCGUGUAGGCGUACCUUUAAGUCUAAAAUUAAAUACCUAAGCUUAACUUAGGAAAAGUUUUAGAAACUAAAGGUAUAGAGUACGGGAUAGGAAGGUGGAAUUAUCAGUGUAGCGGUGAAAUGCGUAGAUAUUGAUAGGAACGCCAACGACGAAGGUAGCCUUCUGGACCGAUACUGACGCUGAGGCGCGAAAGCUAGGGGAG
rnacentral:rRNA from 1 species